GGGGGCGUAGCCUAGUGGCUUAGAGCAUCGGACUUACGACUUGAAGGUCGCGGGUUCGAUUCCCGGUCCCACUG
rnacentral:tRNA from 1 species